rnacentral:rRNA from 1 species
CCGUAAGGGAAAGGUGAAAAGUACCCCGGAAGGGGAGUGAAAGAGAACUUGAAACCGUGUGCUUACAAGUAGUCAGAGCCCGUUAAUGGGUGAUGGCGUGCCUUUUGUAGAAUGAACCGGCGAGUUACGAUCUGAUGCAAGGUUAAGCAGCAAAUGUGGAGCCGCAGCGAAAGCGAGUCUGAAUAGGGCGUUGAGUAUUUGGUCGUAGACCCGAAACCAGGUGAUCUACCCUUGGUCAGGUUGAAGUUCAGGUAACACUGAAUGGAGGACCGAACCGACUUACGUUGAAAAGUGAGCGGAUGAACUGAGGGUAGCGGAGAAAUUCCAAUCGAACUUGGAGAUAGCUGGUUCUCUCCGAAAUAGCUUUAGGGCUAGCCUCAAGUGAUGAUUAUUGGAGGUAGAGCACUGUUUGGACGAGGGGCCCCUCUCGGGUUACCGAAUUCAGACAAACUCCGAAUGCCAAUUAAUUUAACUUGGGAGUCAGAACAUGGGUGAUAAGGUCCGUGUUCGAAAGGGAAACAGCCCAGACCACCAGCUAAGGUCCCAAAAUAUAUGUUAAGUGGAAAAGGAUGUGGCGUUGCCCAGACAACUAGGAUGUUGGCUUAGAAGCAGCCAUCAUUUAAAGAGUGCGUAAUAGCUCACUAGUCGAGUGACACUGCGCCGAAAAUGUACCGGGGCUAAACAUAUUACCGAAGCUGUGGAUUGUCCUUUGGACAAUGGUAGGAGAGCGUUCUAAGGGCGUCGAAGCAUGAUCGCAAGGACAUGUGGAGCGCUUAGAAGUGAGAAUGCCGGUGUGAGUAGCGAAAGACGGGUGAGAAUCCCGUCCACCGAUUGACUAAGGUUUCCAGAGGAAGGCUCGUCCGCUCUGGGUUAGUCGGGUCCUAAGCUGAGGCCGACAGGCGUAGGCGAUGGAUAACAGGUUGAUAUUCCUGUACCACCUAGUAUCGUUUUAAUCGAUGGGGGGACGCAGUAGGAUAGGCGAAGCGUGCUGUUGGAGUGCACGUCCAAGCAGUAAGGCUGAGUGUUAGGCAAAUCCGGCACUCAUAAGGCUGAGCUGUGAUGGGGAGAGGAAAUUGUUUCCUCGAGUCGUUGAUUUCACACUGCCGAGAAAAGCCUCUAGAUAGAUAACAGGUGCCCGUACCGCAAACCGACACAGGUAGUCGAGGCGAGUAGCCUCAGGUGAGCGAGAGAACUCUCGUUAAGGAACUCGGCAAAAUGACCCCGUAACUUCGGGAGAAGGGGUGCUCUUUAGGGUUCACGCCCAGAAGAGCCGCAGUGAAUAGGCCCAAGCGACUGUUUAUCAAAAACACAGGU